UACGGAGGGUGCGAGCGUUGUCCGGAAUCACUGGGCGUAAAGGGCGCGUAGGCGGUGCGGUAAGUCACCUGUGAAAUCUCCUGGCUCAACUGGGAGUCUGCAGGCGAAACUGCCGUGCUGGAGUGUGGGAGAGGCGAGUGGAAUUCCUGGUGUAGCGGUGGAAUGCGCAGAUAUCAGGAGGAACACCGAUGGCGAAGGCAGCUCGCUGGGACGGUACUGACGCUGAGGCGCGAAAGCGUGGGGAGCGAACAGG
rnacentral:rRNA from 1 species